rnacentral:lncRNA from 1 species
GCUUAUAUAUUUCGCAUCAGGUUGUUGUUACCAUAAGGAUUGGCUGAUCUUUAGUUAGUAUGCGGUGGUGAUGUGAUAAUGAUUAUCACAAUACAAAAAAUUAGCAGGUGGGGUGAUUUGGUAUGUGUUAUGCUUAAAGAUAGCUUUAGCCUCUAAAGAAUGGAGGAUAUGGCAUACGAAUCAAUUGCAAUUCCACACGUUAGAAUUGCAAUUAGCAAUUUAGCACUCUUCACGAGUAUCAGGCCGUGUCAAGCAACUAUAUGGUGUGUCUAUAAAUAAAGGAGGUUUUGCAACAUUGGAGGGUUCUUCAACUCAACACACAAAUUAACGCUCUAUGCGAAACCCUCUCAUAUCUUGUGAAAAACAUUAACUGCUCACUAACCAUUUCUCAUUGGCAAAUAUUCAGUUUGGUUAAACAUCACUGUGCUAACAAUUGGCGACACCUUUAGUUUGGUUAAACAACAUUGGAGUCGUAAAACCUGUCUAGCCUAGGAGACCUUCAUUUUGGUUAAACAUCACUCUCCUAUCCUUGUUGGUUAUCUAUGUCUCGGCGGACGAAGAAUUCCCUACUGAUCAUGUAAUCUCAUCAGCUUUGACGAAGCGAGGUGUUCUCAGGUUACUCCAUGUUCGGUACAACGAAAGCUAAACCAUUUAUUGAACUUCACAGCAAGGUUAGCAACCUUGUCUUUAGGUUAACAAAAACCCUAGGCCGAAAAUGUCUUCCUCGGUCGUAAUGGUUUAGCCAUGCACGAUCCCACGAAAUGAUUGAGAGCUACGACGGGUCGAAAUGCAGUUGGUUCUUACUUACUCAUUUAGCGCGUAACGUAAGACUUAGUAGUUUUUAGAGUCAACAGACAUGAUGGAGCAGUAAGCUUGAUGUUUCUGGGUUUGCAAGUUUUUUUUAAUUCUAUAAAAAAAAUGAUAUUACUACUUAAAUUUAUAUUAAGAGAGAGGGUUUUAAACUUGGGAUGGAAUGGAUUGACCAGGAAGAACCUAACCACCAAGGCAAUUCGCCACACUUUUUUUUUUUUGAACAAACGAUAUUAUCUACACUAAGGAGUGGGUUUAGCCUUACAAUAGGCUAGUGAUAAUGUGGUUCAAAAUUGCCUUUGGCGAGAAUAGAACUCAAUACCUCUCACUUACAAGUAAAGAGAAAUACUAGCAAACUGUAAUACUAAGUGACAUUUCACUACUUAAAAAAACUAAGAAAUUAGGGUUGCGCGCUUUUAAUUAUGUUUUUUUAUUCAUUUUUAAAGAAAACUAAGAAAACUAAUUACAAUCCAAGUUGAAAUUUGAUCAAUUGAGUCUUUAUUAUGUGGCACAUGUCACGCCAUUUGAACAAUAAACAAGUCAUUUUCAAUUUAUGUGAAAUAGUAGGUGAUGUUGCAGUUCUAUUAGAUUAGGAAUGUAAUUGUGUAAAUACUAGUAGAUAUGGAAAUGUAUAGAUUCCUAUUAUGAGUAGAUUACCUAUUAAAUGUUGUAAUCUUAAAGGGAAAGGUUUUUACCUAUCUUACUGCUAUAAAUAAAGGCACAAUGAGGGAGGAAUAACACAAACCCACAAUUUCACAUCUAUCUCUUCUCUCUACCAUUGCCGCACCUUUCUCUCUCUCUAUGGCCUUCAUAAUCGUUCAGUAAAUUAUGUCUACAACACGUUAUCAGCACAUUUUUGACACUGCGCUAAAGAGAUUUUAUUCUUCAAUUAAGGGAGUAUUAUGUUUUAAUCAUUCUUUUUAUGAUUAAUUUAUUAUUUUAUUGAAUUGAUAUACAUGCUAUUGAUUCAAUUUAAUUUUUCUGUGUUGAACGCGAUACAACACAUUGGAGAUGCAAUUCCGGCUUUCCAAGACGAAUCUUCUACAAAUUCAAAGGCUUUUGUUGUUUUCUGCCAAUCAUGUACGCUUAAAAUAAAGGAAGAUAUUUGAAACGACCUUGUAGCAUGAAAACAUUCCCCAUGAUGCAUGAACCCCCUAUGUUUCUAUUCUCCUUACGAUAUAUAUAUUGUAUAUGUUCAUAUAUUUGUCAAUAUAUAUAUAUAUAUAUUUGUUUCAUGCAUUACACAAUUAUAUUUGCUAUGUGGAAUAUGUGAGUCAAAGUUUAGAAUCAAAAUAAAUUAGAAGCAAUUAGGGUUUUUCAAACCCUAGAUGUUGAAAAAAAAAAAAUAUUUUGGGGGAAGUUGCAAUUGAGCCGCAG